UACGUAGGGUGCGAGCGUUAAUCGGAAUUACUGGGCGUAAAGUGUGCGCAGGCGGCAAAGCAAGUCGAGUGUGAAAGCCCCGGGCUUAACUUGGGAAUUGCGCUCGAAACUACUUUGCUGGAGUGUGGCAGAGGAAGGUGGAAUUCCACGUGUAGCGGUGAAAUGCGUAGAGAUGUGGAGGAACACCAAUGGCGAAGGCAGCCUUCUGGGCCAACACUGACACUGAGGCACGAAAGCGUGGGGAGCAAACAGG
rnacentral:rRNA from 1 species